UACGGGGGGGGCAAGCGUUGUUCGGAAUUACUGGGCGUAAAGCGUGCGCAGGCGGUUCGUUGUGUCGGCGGUGAAAGCCCCGGGCUCAACCUGGGAAUGGCCGUUGAAACUGGCGAACUGGAGUGUGGCAGAGGGGGGUGGAAUUCCGCGUGUAGCAGUGAAAUGCGUAGAGAUGCGGAGGAACACCGAUGGCGAAGGCAGCCCCCUGGGCUGACACUGACGCUCAGGCACGAAAGCGUGGGGAGCAAACAGG
rnacentral:rRNA from 1 species